rnacentral:rRNA from 1 species
AACGAACGCUGGCGGCAUGCCUAACACAUGCAAGUCGAACGAAGUCUUCGGACUUAGUGGCGCACGGGUGUGUAACGCGUGGGAAUCUGCCCUUGGGUACGGAAUAACUCAGAGAAAUUUGUGCUAAUACCGUAUAAUGUCUUCGGACCAAAGAUUUAUCGCCCAAGGAUGAGCCCGCGUAAGAUUAGCUAGUUGGUGGGGUAAAAGCCUACCAAGGCGACGAUCUUUAGCUGGUCUGAGAGGAUGAUCAGCCACACUGGGACUGAGACACGGCCCAGACUCCUACGGGAGGCAGCAGUGGGGAAUAUUGGACAAUGGGCGAAAGCCUGAUCCAGCAAUGCCGCGUGAGUGAUGAAGGCCCUAGGGUUGUAAAGCUCUUUUACCAGGGAUGAUAAUGACAGUACCUGGAGAAUAAGCUCCGGCUAACUCCGUG